AGCAGCCGCGGUAAUUCCAGCUCCAAUAGCGUAUAUUAAAGUUGUUGCAGUUAAAAAGCUCGUAGUUGAAUUUCGAGAUCAAAUUGUUGGUCGUGCCUUGGUACGCACUGGCAUUAUUGGUUUCUCCCUUCUGACAAACCAUGAUGUCAUUAAUUUGGUGUCUUGGGGAAUCAGGACUGUUACUUUGAAAAAAUUAGAGUGUUUAAAGCAGGCUCACGCUUGAAUACAUUAGCAUGGAAUAAUGAAAUAGGACGUUUGAUUCUAUUUUGUUGGUUUCUAGGAUCGACGUAAUGAUUAAUAGGGAUAGUUGGGGGCAUUAGUAUUCAAUUGUCAGAGGUGAAAUUCUUGGAUUUAUUGAAGACUAACUACUGCGAAAGCAUUUGCCAAGGAUGUUUUCAUUAAUCAAGAACGAAAGUUAGGGGAUCGAAGACGAUCAGAUACCGUCGUAGUCUUAACCAUAAACUAUGCCGACUAGGGAUCGGAUGAUGUUAAUUUUUUUAAUGACUCAUU
rnacentral:misc_RNA from 1 species